rnacentral:rRNA from 1 species
ACGUAAUAGAUACCCUGGUAGUCCACGCCCUAAACGAUGUCUACUAGUUGUUGGUGGAGUAAAAUCCAUGAGUAAACGCAGCUAAACGCGUGAAGUAGACCGCCUGGGGAGUACGGUCGCAAGAUUAAAACUCAAAUGAAUUGACGGGGGCCCGCACAAGCGGUGGAUUAUGUGGAUUAAUUCGAUGCAACGCGAAAACCUUACCUGGCCUUGACAUGUAACGAACUUUCCAGAGAUGGAUUGGUGCUCGAAAGAGAACGUUAACACAGGUGCUGCAUGGCUGUCGUCAGCUCGUGUCGUGAGAUGUUGGGUUAAGUCCCGCAACGAGCGCAACCCUUGCCAUUAAUUGCCAUCAUUUAGUUGGGCACUUUAAUGGGACUGCCGGUGACAAACCGGAGGAAGGUGGGGAUGACGUCAAGUCCUCAUGGCCCUUAUGGCCAGGGCUUCACACGUAAUACAAUGGUCGGUACAGAGGGUUGCCAACCCGCGAGGGGAGCCAAUCCCAGAAAGCCGAUCGUAGUCCGGA